rnacentral:ncRNA from 20 species
AUUGAGUCAUAUACAUCGUGUACUUCGAUUUUUCGAGGUUAAUAGGGAAGCAGGUGAGAAUCCUGCACGGUCCCGCCACUGUGAAUGGUUAGCAUGAUCACGAUUUGCCACUGGAGCAGAAUCAGAAGUUUUAUAUAUGGUAUUUCUGAUUUUCCGGGAAGGUGUGAUUUAGCUUCGAGCCAUGAGUCAGGAGACCUGCACGAAGUUAGAAUCAGGCA